GCGGCGGACGGGUUAGUAACGCGUGGGAACAUACCCUACACUAAGGAAUAGCCUUUGGAAACGAAGAGUAAUACCUUAUACGCCCUUCGGGGGAAAGAUUUAUCGGUGAAGGAUUGGCCCGCGUUAGAUUAGAUAGUUGGUGGGGUAAUGGCCUACCAAGUCUACGAUCUAUAGCUGGUUUGAGAGGAUGAUCAGCAACACUGGGACUGAGACACGGCCCAGACUCCUACGGGAGGCAGCAGUGGGGAAUCUUAGACAAUGGGCGCAAGCCUGAUCUAGCGAUGCCGCGUGAGUGACGAAGGCCCUAGGGUCGUAAAGCUCUUUCGCCAGGGAUGAUAAUGACAGUACCUGGUAAAGAAACCCCGGCUAACUCCGUGCCAGCAGCCGCGGUAAUACGGAGGGGGUUAGCGUUGUUCGGAAUUACUGGGCGUAAAGCGUACGUAGGCGGACUAGUCAGUCAGAGGUGAAAUCCCAGGGCUCAACCCUGGAACUGCCUUUGAUACUGCUAGUCUUGAGUUC
rnacentral:rRNA from 1 species